rnacentral:sRNA from 12 species
AAAGUCCUACUCGGAAGCGAAGGCCCUAGUUCCACUAAGGCGGUUUAUGUAGCUUAAGCGGGGCUUU